AGAUUUUUGUCAAAGUCAAACUUUGCCAACUUUGACCAAGUGUAUAGAGAAAACUAUCUACAUCUACAAUACCAAACAUGUACAUUCUGAAAAUAUAACUCAUGAGGUAUCCAAUGAUGUGCAUUUGGUAUUCUAGAUGUACCUACUUUUCUCUAUAAAUAUGGUCAAAGUUUGUAAUGUUUGACUUUUGCAAAAAUCUA
rfam:Triticum aestivum genome assembly, contig: Triticum_aestivum_CS42_TGACv1_scaffold_543326_6DS